rnacentral:rRNA from 1 species
UACGAAGGGUGCAAGCGUUACUCGGAAUCACUGGGCGUAAAGCGUGCGUAGGCGGUUCGUUAAGUCUGUUGUGAAAGCCCUGGGCUCAACCUGGGAACUGCAGUGGAUACUGGCGAGCUAGAGUACGGUAGAGGAAGGUGGAAUUCCCGGUGUAGCGGUGAAAUGCGUAGAGAUCGGGAGGACACCAGUGGCGAAGGCGGCCUGCUGGGCAGUAGCUGACGCUGAUGCGCGACAGCGUGGGGAGCAAACGAGGAUUG